ACACCAGCGCCACAAGUGGCAAUCGCUUUUAUUGGGCCUAAAGCGUCCGUAGCCGGUUUAGCAAAUUUCCUGUGAAAUCGUUGUACUCAAUAUAACGACGCGCAGGAAACACUACUAAACUAGGGACCGGGAGGCGUCAGAGGUAUUCUUGAGGGAGCGGUAAAAUGCUAUAAUCUCAAGAGGACCCCCUGUGGCGAAGGCGUCUGACGAGAACGGAUCCGACGGUGAGGGACGAAAGCCAGGGGAGCGAACCGGAUUAGAAACCCGUGUAGUCC
rnacentral:rRNA from 1 species